AACGAACGCUGGCGGCAUGCCUAACACAUGCAAGUCGAACGAGACCUUCGGGUCUAGUGGCGCACGGGUGCGUAACGCGUGGGAAUCUGCCCUUGGGUGCGGAAUAACAGUUAGAAAUGACUGCUAAUACCGCAUAAUGACUCCGGUCCAAAGAUUUAUCGCCCAAGGAUGAGCCCGCGUCGGAUUAGCUAGUUGGUGAGGUAAAAGCUCACCAAGGCGACGAUCCGUAGCUGGUCUGAGAGGAUGAUCAGCCACACUGGGACUGAGACACGGCCCAGACUCCUACGGGAGGAAGCAGGGGGGGAUAUUGGACAAUGGGCGAAAGCCUGAUCCAGCAAUGCCGCGUGAGUGAUGAAGGCCUUAGGGUUGUAAAGCUCUUUUACCCGGGAUGAUAAUGACAGUACCGGGAGAAUAAGCCCCGGCUAACUCCGUGCCAGCAGCCGCGGUAACAC
rnacentral:rRNA from 1 species